UACGUAGGGUGCAAGCGUUGUCCGGAUUUAUUGGGCGUAAAGAGCUCGUAGGCGGUUUGUCGCGUCGGAUGUGAAAACCCAAUGGCUUAACCUUGGGCCUGCAUUCGAUACGGGCAAACUAGAGUGUGGUAGGGGAAACUGGAACUCCUAGUGUAGCGGUGGAAUGCGCAGAUAUCAGGAAGAACACCGAUGGCGAAGGCAGGUUUCUGGGCCAUAACUGACGCUGAGGAGCGAAAGCGUGGGGAGCGAACAGG
rnacentral:rRNA from 1 species